AUUGAACGCUGGCGGCAUGCCUUACACAUGCAAAUCGAACGGCAGCACGGGUGCUUGCACCUGGUGGCGAGUGGCGAACGGGUGAGUAAUACAUCGGAACGUACCUUAUCGUGGGGGAUAACGCAGCGAAAGCUGUGCUAAUACCGCAUACGCCCUGAGGGGGAAAGCGGGGGAUCGAAAGACCUCGCGCGAUUAGAGCGGCCGAUGCCUGAUUAGCUUGUUGGUGGGGUAGAAGCCCACCAAGGCGACGAUCAGUAGCUGGUCUGAGAGGACGAUCAGCCACACUGGGACUGAGACACGGCCCAGACUCCUACGGGAGGCAGCAGUGGGGAAUUUGGACAAUGGGGGCAACCCUGAUCCAGCAAUGCCGCGUGAGUGAAGAAGGCCUUCGGGUUGUAAAGCUCUUUUGUCAGGGAAGAAACACCAGCUCUAACACAGUCCGGGAAUGACGGUACCUGAAGAAUAAGCACCGGCUAACUACGUGCCAGCCGCCGCGGUAA
rnacentral:rRNA from 1 species